rnacentral:rRNA from 1 species
GACGAACGCUGGCGGCGUGCCUAAUACAUGCAAGUCGAGCGGAUUGAUGGGAGCUUGCUCCCUGAUAUCAGCGGCGGACGGGUGAGUAACACGUGGGCAACCUGCCUAUAAGACUGGGAUAACUUCGGGAAACCGGAGCUAAUACCGGAUAAUCCCUUUCCUCUCAUGAGGAAAGGCUGAAAGAUGGUUUACGCUAUCACUUAUAGAUGGGCCCGCGGCGCAUUAGCUAGUUGGUGAGGUAACGGCUCACCAAGGCAACGAUGCGCAGCCGACCUGAGAGGGUAAUCGGCCUCACUGGGACUGAGACAAGGCCCAGACUCCUACGGGAGGCAGCAGUAGGGAAUCUUCCGCAAUGGACGAAAGUCUGACGGAGCAACGCCGCGUGAGUGAUGAAGGUUUUCGGAUCGUAAAACUCUGUUGUUAGGGAAGAACAAGUACGAGAGUAACUGCUCGUACCUUGACGGUACCUAACCAGAAAGCCACGGCUAACUACGUGCCAGCCGCCGCAGUAA